rnacentral:rRNA from 1 species
AGCGGAGGAAAAGAAACCAACAGGGAUUGCCUUAGUAACGGCGAGUGAAGCGGCAAAAGCUCAAAUUUGUAAUCUGGCACCUUCGGUGUCCGAGUUGUAAUUUGAAGAAGGUAACUUUGGCUUUGGCUCUUGUCUAUGUUCCUUGGAACAGGACGUCACAGAGGGUGAGAAUCCCGUGCGAUGAGAUGCCCAUUGCUAUGUAAAGUGCUUUCGAAGAGUCGAGUUGUUUGGGAAUGCAGCUCUAAGUGGGUGGUAAAUUCCAUCUAAAGCUAAAUAUUGGCGAGAGACCGAUAGCGAACAAGUACAGUGAUGGAAAGAUGAAAAGAACUUUGAAAAGAGAGUGAAAAAGUACGUGAAAUUGUUGAAAGGGAAGGGCUUGAGAUCAGACUGGUGCUACAUAUGUUUUGCUUUCGGGUGGGGCCUCUAUGUGGUAUCGGGCCAGCAUCGGUUUGGACGGUAGGAUAAUGACAUUGGAAUGUGACUUUGCUACGGUAGAGUGUUAUAGCCUUUGUUGAUACUGCCUGUCUAGACCGAGGACUGCGUCUUUGACUAGGAUGUUGGCAUAAUGAUCUUAAGUCGCCCGUCUUGA